CGCGACAUUGCCCCCCCCCCCUUCCCGCGAUGCACCGCAACGAGCGGCCACAGGGCAGCUGCGACGAGCGACUCUAUCCGGGUCCUGGGCGCUGCUCCGGGUCAGCCUGCAGCAGGCUUCAACAGAUUUGGCCAAAAACGUUUGAGGCUUUGAAACUGCUGCUACGACCUGCAGAGUAUUGACAACUGUGACUCUGCUUUAAAACAGACCUGGUGGAAUGGAAGUGAGCACUGAGAUGUUGGAUUCAAUUUAUAGCUCGAAACAGUGAAGAAAACGAGUGGUGGUAGACCGACCAUCUGUCUGUGACCAGUUAUUGCAGCAUGUAAUCAACAGCCAUUAUCUUGAAGCAUAAUCUGAUGGACGGACUAUAAGACCUGGAGUCGCACCGAGUCUGCUUCCCACUCUGGCGUGCUGUAUGAUGACCAAUGGCAUCUUCUUCAUUGGUAAAAUGAGGACUGAACGUACUCAUGCUGAUUUGAGAUUACAUCUAUGGAAGAAGAUUGUAAUUAACCCAUUUUUAAAAGAAAAUUGAGUUUUAGAUAUCUUUCUUGCUCUGCAUCUUGCUGUCUAUCCAGAGGAGAAGUCUUGAGAGCCCCUAAUGGUGUGGAAAAGAUGUCCCCUGCUGUGUUACUUAGGGGUAGUCAGUAUGUAUUUCAGUACUUUUUAAAGAAGCUUACACAGUAUUGUACAUCUUCUGGAUCAUGCCAGGAGCUGUUGCACUGAACCACGCUAUUGACAGGACCAGGUUCAAGAAUUGUUUCCUUCCUCUACUUUAAGCAUGUAAUGAGUAUUUUCCUUGUGCCUAACUGUACUUUCUGUUGCAGAGCCAAUAAAUCUUAAACUGUUGUAUGACUCUUUAUUUAGGGUAAGAGUACCUAAAUUUUCAUAAUAGAAUGCAGUACCUCAACAAACUUACUUCACUUUCCAAAGGCUAUAAUUAUAAAUUAGUGUAUUUUAAAGGAAUAUUUUUAUUCCACUAGAUGAAGUACAGCUUAGGUAUGAUCUUUGAACAUUGUUGUUAAACUUCAGUAUAUAUGGUAGGUGGUGGUAGCAUUAUUUUUAUGGAUACCACACAGGCUUUUACUUCAUCCCACAACUGAUAGCUUUUGAUUGAGGGGACCUAGCUUCAUGGUGCUCAUCAGCAUCUCUUCUAUUCAAAUGGAGGUGUUCACAAAGCUUAUCACUAUAUAUUGCUCAAAGGGAACAGCUCUAGCUAAGCAACAACUGCAGCUAAAAUGAAGGAUUAUUAAAUGUUUCUCCUUUUACAGGUUAAAGGAAUAUGCUCUUAAAAUACUUGUUUCGUCACUUUCAGCUACCACACCUACGAUGCUGAUGUUGUCACAUGCCACAGCUGUAAAGCCCCUGUUGUGGAAAAAUUGUGAACAGAACAAGUUAAAACAAAAGCCUUUUAACAGGGAGCUAGUUCUACAAUUUAAAGUUUAAACACAUUACAUCCAUACUACUUUAAUCUAGCAGCCCAAAGCACUUAGGCACCCUAAACUUUCAGAAUGUGGCAGGAGGAGAGUCUGAAUAUUGCCUUAGCAGUAUGUUGCAUAAGCUCUUCCUGGAGUUUAAACUCUAUUACGCUGCAGCAGACCCAACUUACUGAAAAAUAAAAAGGUGUAACUAACUGAUUUACAGCAGAAAUUGACUUUAUACAAAAGAAUACUAUGCAAAAUACAAAAAACACAUGCUCAGUUCACUAGAAAUUUUUUACAUAUAAAAAGGCCUGAAUGGCUGAAGGUCAUGUAUCUUCCACAGUUGUUUAAACAGCGGGGUAAUUUAUUCCUGAAAAGGUCAUUUAAGUUUUGUUUGUUUUUUUUGUCACUGUUGCUGUCUUCUCCAAAGAAAAUCUGCCCUGUGUCGAUUAGCAAUCUCAGUUCAGCUUUCAAUGUAUUGAGUUAUCCACAUGUUUUUGUAAGUGGAAGCAAAUUAAUCAUAUACUAAACAAAGGCUUGAUUUAUAUCACAACUUGCUAGCUUUUUCCAAUUACCACUUCAGCUUUCUUACCGUGACCAUCUGUGGGUUCCCCCUAGUAAGUAAUAGCGACUCGUCAGCGAAGAGAUUUUGUUUACUUUUUUCCAUGUGUACACACGGAGUGAGAGAUCCAAAGAUGAUGUGACAACACGAAAAGAAUCCUUCCAAUUUAAAAUAAAAUACUGUAGUUAAAGUACAGUAAACAAUGCAAAAAAAAAUUAGUACUAAAUCAUUGAGGCACAUACCACCCAUAUUGAAGUGAUUGUAUUGUUGUGAUGCUGAAAAGCUUCUAAUUGAGUCCCAAAAAUUGAAUAUAGUUUCAAGUUUGAUCCACAUCCUAGAAGAAUUGUUUCUGUUCCGUGCCCUUCCAUGAGAAUUGCUGUGGUCCAAGUGCUUUGUGGUAAUGUGAAACUUGCAACCUGUUGAGCUUUUAUAAAGAAAAUACAGUACUUGUAAACACCCAUACUCUCAAGAUUAUAUUUCAACUCUAAAAUCACUUCUAUUAAAAUCUGCAGUAUAAAGUUUAGAUAUAUAUAUCUAUUUUUAAAAAGAAACCCCUUCUCUGGGGGCCAGACAGCUUGGGCCUGCUUACUAUGAGCAUGAUAUCAAUGUUCUUUUCCAUGAUCUACCUCUACCAUCCCAUAAUAGGUCUCCCUCUCUUUGUGAUACAGCUACAUUGUCAGUCAGGAGAAGCAGUUGAUAAGGAGCCCUGUUUUUACAUAAGGGGUUGCAAGCUUUGUGUUCUCGAUGAGGGUCCCUUAACUUUGGAAAUAACUUUCUAGCCACCAGGGACUAUGUGUGCAUAUUUUAAUUUAUCCUCUUAUCCUUUUGUAUUCUGCAAGGGAUACAGGGGGGGAAAAACAUCUCUCUACUCCUUAAGUAACUUCUUGAGAACAAAGGGGGGCCUGCCACUGUACCCCAAUGGUCAGCUGGCUCUCUUGGAGCAGUGGUAGUGAUUGUUUCCAGAGUUGAGUAGUCCUAGAUACGUGUCUGUGUGCUGGGACAGUACAUAGGGAAAUUGUUGGCUUCAGUAAGGACACAAGCUAUGUACAGCUUUACAGAUCAAUUUCAAACACCUCAAACUGCAAGCAGAAGCCAAUUAACGUAGUUCCUGAAGAACAGCUGCAACAAAUGCAACUUAUUUUUUCCAGUCUCCUAUAAUAAGUAACAAUGGAUUUUACCCACAUUAAAAAAAAAAUCUUGAGAGACCAAGUAUAGAAAAAUAGAACUUGGAAAGAGUUUUGUAUCCUGAACUAUCAGUAAUCACAGGUGUCUACUAUUAAAAAAACAAAACCACAAAUGGAAUAAAAUUAUUUCUCUGCUAUGAGGUGUUUAUAGGCAAUAGUUAUCAAAACAUACCUAGAACUUCUGUUUUACAUUUAGACUUUUUGACAGCUAGAUCAAAGACUGUGAUGUUCCUUCGAACUGACAUGCGAUCUUGGUGCAUUACUGCUAUUCUUGCUGGUGCUUUUGGUAACCAGCAGACUACAGCACAAUUGUUGACAGGCAGAGAACUAGAUAUGGGUGGUUCAUCCCCUGGGUUAAUCAAGCAAUCUGUAUAAAAUAUCUGGUGUAGGGAAAAACAAAGAAAUAUACUAUUCAAUCUGCAGUGCCACCUAUGAAAAAACCUUAAAGUCUUCAUAAUUCUUGCUAAGGAUUUUUUCCAUAAAGAAAAGCUUUUUGCUAAAUCAGAUUUAUUGAAGUUUAUCUUUCAAUGGUUUAUUGAAAGUCAUCACUGUCUUAAUGAAAAGUGCGAGUUUGGUGCUUGUGAAAAUAUGGGAUAGGACCUGGCAUAGCUGAGCCUUAGAGCCUGUCUCCACUUAGCAGGGGGAUCGACAGACAGUGAUCGAUCAACCAAGGAUCCAUUUAGCAGAUCUAGUGAAAACCCGCUAAAUUGACCGCUCUCCCGUAGACUCCACUGGAACCAGAAGCGUAAGGUAAGUCGAUGAGAGAGUUUCUCCCGUCGACCAAGUGCAGUGUAGACACUGCAGUAAGUCGAUCUAAGGUACGUCGACUCCAGCUACAUUAUUCACAUAGCUGGAGUUGUGCAACUUAGGUCCAUUUAGCCCAGUACCAUACAGCUGCCCACAGACUGAGCUGUAUUCCUUACACAGCUCUGCCAGUGUAUCUGAAUGUUUAAUGACAGCAUUCUCUGCUAUUCCAGUCCACUUUCCUUUUGUCCAAGAGGCAGUUGUGCUAAAAUGUGCAUGUGGAAAGGGUAUAGGGAGUGUUGGAUGCUAGCAGAGUACUGCUGAAAGUGGUACUUUUUGUACAAAGAGGAUCACAAAUGACUUGUGGCUUGGUUUAUUAUUUUGUGAGGUGUUUCUAGUAAACUUUUCAGUGUCCAUUCUAAAACAUAAUCUGACCUAUCAAGGGUGGUUGAAAAUUGGUUGUUGCUCAAGUUAUCUAAUUUAUGGUAGAAUAUCUCUUACACAAAUACGAAUCUAGGGUGAGUUCAAAGCUGGUUGGGAAACAUUUUCUGCAAAAAUGUAUCCGGAAUUGGGACAAAAAUGCCAAAGCCUCAAAUUUUCACAGAACUGAAAUCCCACAUGAUUUUGUUUCAGAAACACUGAAAGAUGGUGUUUCCAAAAUGAAAUGUGCUCUCUGGGAUCCCUGGCUGCCCAUCUAGUAGGCUGCAGUGGAGAUGGGGACACCAGAAACCCUGACAGUUGCUAAUGAAAGUAAUGAUUGUCUCGCUGCCCAUCACUGAAUAGCAGUUGUGAAAUUGGCCAGACUCUGGUCAAGUUACGCAUCUUGUCAGUUUCACAGCUGCUAUUUAGUGGUGGGCAGCAGUGAAACUGAAAAUAAUGGUCAGUUUGUCUGCAUCUGCCAGAGUUCUUGGGUCCUCUGUAGCCUACCUGGUGAACUGACUGGGAGCGUUGAUUCACAAGCUCCUGUUGCAGCUAGGACUCUCAGAAGUUGGGCAAUGGAGGGAAGUAACUGGCCUGGAAGAUAUGGGGUCCUGAAUCCAGGGAAGUCCACAUAGGCCCGCUGGCAGAAAACCAGGCAGGAGUCCAAUAUAAAUUUGUCAAAAUCUACCCCUCUCCAAAAAAACCAUUUAGGUUUUGACAAAUCAACAACUUCCGAUGAAAAAAGUGUCUUGCUGGAAUUUAGCUGAACCUAGCCGUUAGCAAGGAAAUUCAGUUGUAAGAUUUCUCAUUCUGUAAAGAUCAAGAGCUUGACAGUAACCACUAGGUGUGUCAGAUGCCCAACACUGAAAACAAGUUAUUUGUUUACUCUUCCAGCAAAGGUUCUAUGGUAUUUUUAUUUUUCAAAUUUUCACAUUAGUUAUUAGCAGAUAUGGAAAAUUGCUACAUAGCCUCUACUUGCACCACCAAAAAUAUAAAAUGCAACAUUUUAGAUAUUCAAAUUCAGUCUGUUGCAUUAUAAGCAGAAUGUUUUGUAACAGAGAAAGCUGCAUUAUAAAUUAUGUGUAAUGCCAUUAAGAUUUAUGGGAUAAAAUACAUUGAGUGCUUCAUUCAGGAAGGGCAAAUUAUUUACGUUAAUUAGGAAAAUAUUCUAACAAAGGAAGAAUAAAUAUUUCCUACUUUGAGAUAGAGAUUGUUCUAGUGUAUAUAAAUGCUGCCGAGUCCAUGAGUCAGUCAGUAAGAUACACCAAUAGAUCCAAGAAGAAGGCAAGAGACUAUAUUAAAACGUUGUAGAGACCCUAUAUUUAAAUGCAGCUCCCAAUUUUACGUGAGCGUUUAACAGCAUACUGUACCUUUGGAGAUGUAUCUGCAUUCUCAGUAGAUCCAGCAACUAGCCAUUGCUUGUCCGGUGAACAAAGUAAUAAAUCAAUGCUAGAAUUUUGAAAUGCUGCAAUACAUGAAACCUGAUUUAAAUUAGGAACUUCUAACGUAUAGAUAGCACCUUCUGCAGUAGCUGCCUAUAAGAAAGAAACAUGGUUACAUCCCAGCUUCUGUAAAAAAGAAUGUAUAUGAAUCUGAAGGUUUAGUGCUCAUGAAAUCAAGCAUUUUUGUCUCAUCUGAAUUUAAACUUUGAGUGGUACUAUCAGCACCAGGCUUGAAGACUAAAUUGUAUCUUACAUCAAGAUGUGCAUAGCACAGAGUCUCUCACAUAGUCCAUUCAAAAGAAAAGGAAACUUCCUACUGAGGCUUUUAAAAAGAAAAAGUGGAGUCCAUUUUUAGGGGUCAUCAUAGAUGCUUUCCUGAAUCUCUUACAGCAGUUGGCAUACAGGAUGAACCACCUCCUUAUAUGUAGUGUGGUGAAUCAGACACCUUCUAUGUAUUGUGUAUCAGGAGCAGCAGAAGCAAAAGGCAGUGGAGAGAGAUUUCCUAAUGAUUCAACGUCUUUGAUUCCGGUCUCUGAAGUGGGAAUUCAAUUCUCCGCCACUCCAUCAAGUGCUGCUGCAGUAGCACAAUGCCACUAUGCUGUAAUUUUGAACUGCUAUAAUAUACAUUCAGUCCUCUUAACCCUGUUUCCAGCAGUUAUGAGGAAUACAGGAAUGUGCAGUAUUCAUCCCCUCACUAGCAGCACUAACUCCACAGAGGGCUGAAACAGUCACUUCCCAAAUAAGCCCCACAGACACAACUAUAGUUAAAGCCUUUUUCUAUUCCUAUCCAAAAUAAGCACAAAUUCUAUUGUCCUGCUCUGGCAUACUUCCACACCACACAUGCCUCUACUUGUUCCAUUGUAAUAGCAAGGCAGAAGAUGUACAUUACAACCAUUUGUAUAAACACUUAGUGUGUGGCAUUUUCCUGUGUUCUAGAUACUUUGUUCCAAAAAGAUGUAGACAAACUCAAGGGAGUCCAAGGAAGAGGGCUUGGAGGAAAGAUUAGAAGAACUAAAUAUAACGUGGAUAAGGAGAAACUCGAAAGGGAUAUGAUGGUCUCCAAAGUGUAUAAACACAAGGGAGCAUGACUGUGCUAUAUCAACAGAAAAAAAAUGAAGUUAGUAAAAUAAUAAAUUUGAAGCUAAAUAUCAGAACUCCAGGCUGUGAGAACUAAAGCCCUUUGAAGAGACACAUCCACACAGUCUAGUGGUUAAAGUUCCAUCCCUGCAGACUUUUGAAAUGAGAUUGGAUGAAGCACUAGAUCAUAGAUCAUCCAGUGCAGAAUAAUUAAUUCUUUACAGACUGUCCUAGGAUGAAAUCCUGGCCUCACUGAAGUUAACUGAAGUUUUGUCAUUGAUUCCAAUAGGGCCAAGAUUUCACCUGAAGUCUCUUUCAAUAAAUUUUAUGCACCUUUAAUUCCUAUCUCCCAAUGCUUAAAAUGCACCAUAUCAGACACGUAUUCCUCAUUAUUUUAAGUGAGCACAUAUCUAGGUGUAGCUGACCUUGUUAGACAAGUGGUCAUUAAUUUACAGUCACCUUGGUUUACUUACAGUUAGGAAGGGCUUAUUGUUCACUGAGUAGGUAACCAGACUGGACGAGGACGACGAUGUGGAGAAUGCAGCAAGCUCUUCCCCAGUUUCUCCAUGCCAGACUUUAAUGGUUCCAUACGCGUCUGUGCUGAUUGCUAGUUUGUACUGUGGGACAGUAAUAACCUUUACAAAUGGCACUUCCUGGGAGGGACUUGACCAUAUCUGUGUACCCUGAACAAAAAUAUGCAGUUAGGGGCCAGCUUAUGGGCAUUUUAAAUAGUUUUAAAUUGUUAUCAAUAAUGCAUCCCCUUUUUCCCCGUUGUUUGUUUUCAUAUGUAUAUACCAUUGAAGAUAUUACCUGUUUCAAUAACAUUUUCCUUGGUAUUUUCCAGUCUUGGUGUUGAAAUAGUUUUUCUUUAACAAGAUAGCCAUUAUUUUCUCGUUUUUGGAACUCUCUCCCCCCACUGGAUUCUACUAAUGACUCAGCUUACUCCAUUGUAUUUCAAAAAUCCUAAAUUGCAGCCAAGAAUUGUUUCUAAAGAUGACAUCAUUUUAAAUAACCUGAUGUUUCCUUUGCACCACAAAUCUCACUUGUUCUCCCCACACCCAAUGACUGCAGACCACAGGACUGGAAAAUUCCACUCCUUCACCCCCACAUGAUAGCAAGAAUCUGCAAUAGUUUUUAAAUCUUCCUUCUCCCCUAUUCUCUUUUACUGUCCCUACCAUCUUUAGGGUACCAUCACAAACUGGUCUGCAUUGAGAAUUAAAAGCACAUUUUAGAGCCACAUGUACAUGCAGACAGACUACACAGCAACAUUUGCUACCUUGCUAUGCAGAUUCAUCUCAGUUUGGACCCUUUGCUACUCAAGUCCUGGGUCUCCUGAGCAGGAACUGCCAAUAGCAUUUCACUCUGCCAAAAUGGAUGGUGGUUUCUGAAGUGGUCUAAUGUUCACAAGAAUUAAAUUGAGACCAAGCACACUUCCACAAGUCAUCUUUGCAAGAAUUGAUUCUAGUGGCCCAGUUAAUCUUUGGCAUAAUUCUGUUCAGGUCAACUGAUACAAGCAGAGGUGCACCUGCUUGCUUCCAUGGGUCAAGUUCUAUCCUGUUGUAACUGACACAGAAAUCCUGGGCUGAACUCAACAGUAACAAACAGUGUUGUAAAUUAGUCAGAAAAUGGGUGUGCAUGUCAGAUGAUUGAUGUUAUUGGUUAUGGUCCAUUGAUUUACCAUUUAAUAGGCAUGCAAAAUAGAGGUGUGUAAUACUGCAUGCCAAAGGUUUGUAGGGGGGAAAUACUACCAAUACUGGCACCAGCUAACUUAGAAGUUUGCCAUAUUAUUGCACUCAUUUCCCCAACCAUGUUUACAAGGGUCUGUCUCUCAUAAUUGAUCUUGAAUGCUUUACAUUUGGCCAGUUAAACGACACUGGUUCAAUUUAAGCUGUAUUUUCUAACUGUACGUGAUACUGUGCAGUCCUGGAGUAUCUUAAUAUUACCAUUUUAAUUUUGAUUGCAUUUAACAAGUCUAGUUUCUCUAAAAGUAAUAUUCCCCAAUAGCUGUUUUCAGGGGCACCAACCUAAAGCCCAAUAUUCAGUGACUAUCUUAAAAAAAAAAAAAGUAGAAAUCAACACAUACGGCACUUUAAUCUUAUUGCAAAAUUUCACAUUAACCUUUAGGCAAGAUUGUCAGGCUAAACAUUGUGUAGUCCGUCCCCCCGCACCCCCAGAAAAAGCAGCAUCAGCAAAUACUUUAUGCUCUUAGAAAUGCUGAUCUAAGAUCUAAUUCAAAUGAAGCCAGUGGAGCUUUGAUGCAUGAAGAACCUUCACAGUAAUAGGACAGAAUACCAGAAAUAUGAAUUGCUUGCAUACUCUGCCAGAUCUCUUCCUCUCAAAUGUGGACAGAGAAGUUAGGGAAGAAAAGUCUGAUCUCAUUAAUAUACCAUGUUUUUUGUGCUGUGAUUUGAAUUAGAUAUUGAACAUUACGGACCACAAGCCUGCAUCUCUAGUCAGAGUUUAAGGCCACAAGGAACCAUCCAACACCCACAUGCUAAACCCCACAAUCAAAAUGAGACUAAAGGACUAGUCUAUUCUGUGCCACAGGCAGAGAACAGGAGGGCCCAAGCUGCACCAGUGGCCUAGGCCCCCACAAUGGCAGGGAAACAUCAGACUCUCCUAAAAACAAAUUGUUUGCUCGUACAACUCCUAUUGAGAGGGUGUUCUAGAACCUCUUUCCUCUGUUGGUUAGAAGCCUUCUAAAUUUCAGCCUGAAUUUGUUCAUGGACAGUUUACAUUCAUUUGCUCUUGUGCCAACAUUGUCCUUUAUCUUAAAUAGCUCUUUGCCUCCCUGGUAUUUACCCCUCCUCCCCCAACAUAUUUAUAGAUAACAAUCUUAUCCCUUCUUAGACUUUUGCUAGCCUAAAUAAGCCAAGCUCUUCCAGUCUCCUGUCAUAAAAUACGCCCUCCAUUCCCUAAUCAUCCUAUUUCCUGAAAGUGGGUGACCACAAUUGUAUCCAGUACUCCAAGCGAGGUGUUACUAGUACUUUGUACAAUGGCAUUAUUGUUUCUCUGUCUACUGGAAAUGCCUCUCCUAAUACAUCCUAGGAUCGCAUUUGCCUUUUUCACAGCCACAUUAAAUUGAUGACUCAGUUAUCCUGUUCUUGACCCAUACACCCAGGUGUCUCUCCUCCUCUGUCGCUUCCAACUGAUGGACUCCACAUGAGUACCUGGGGUGUUAAUCUUUUGUGAUCAAGACUGGCACUACUGCUAAAAAGGGCUUAAACUACGAGAUGAGGUUGGAAGAGGCUCAUGAAGUCUCCAGUGUACUGAAGCCAGGCAUGGAGCAAGAAAACCAGCUAACAGAAGAUAUAGUAAGGGAUAAGGGAAUAUCACAAGCUAGAAAACUGGGUGAGGUCUGAGGGAAACAACUGAAGUGCUUGUACACCAAUGCAAGGAAUCUGGGCAACAGAAUGGAGGAACUGGUACUACUGGUGCAGGAGGUUAAACCAGAUAUAGGAAUUAUAGAAACGUGGUGGAAAAGCACUCAUGACUGGAAUAGAGGUAUUGAAGGUUAUGUACUGUUAAGAGAGAGAAAAAUAAAGGUAAAGAUUGUGGGGUAGCAUUGUACAACAACAAAGCUGUAAACUUAAAGAAGUGAUAGUACAGACAAAAUCUGUUUUGGUCAAAAUCACAUUGGGGAAGGGUUGUAAAAGGAGGUUCUCCUGGGAUAGUAUUAGGGGUCUGCUAUAGAAGAGUCAGACUCUGUUAUGGAUAGCAAUCACUUCAGUAUUAUUAGAGAAAUACUUUGCGGACUUGUGUCAUAAUGGGAAACUUUAAACUUCCUUGAUAUAGAUUGUAGAAUAAAUACUACUAAUACUUGUAAGGCCCAGUUAUUCCUGGAUGUGAUAGAUGACAGUUUUCUUCAUCAAAUAGUCACUGAACCAACAAGAGGUGAUGCAAUUUUAGACUUAAUUUUAUUAAGUAGUGAGACAUCACAGAAGAGCAGGUCAUGGGAAGUAAUCUUGGAUUGAGUGAUCACAAAUUGAUUCACUUUAAAUUAAAUGAAGGACAAUCCAAACCAUGUCAUCAGCUCUGUUUUUUUAUUUCCAAAAGGGCAGACUUUGGGAAAGUAAGGAAAUUAGUUUAAGUCAGUUGGAGUGAAGAGCUCAAGGACUUAAAUAUGAAAGAGGCUUGAAAUUUCUUCAUAUCAACUAUACAAAAACAAUCUGAAAUUUGCAAAACUUGUAGGGAAAGGCUCCAGACCCACCUAGAUGAAUAGCCACCUCAAAAAAGGUUCAUAGGAGGAAGCAGAGAGCUUGUAGGGAAUGGGAAAAGGGGCUUAUCAGCAAACAAAGGUAUAUUGUAAAAGUUAGAAAAAUGUAGGAAUAAAGUGAGAAUUGCUAAAAGUCAAGCUGAAUUAGCUCUUGCCAAGGAAAUUAAAUAAUAGGGGUUUUUUAUGUAAAUAAAAAGGAAGGAUGAGGUUGGGCCACUAUGCAGUGUGGGUGGCAAAGAGAUUUAAGAUCUAGGUAUGGCCCCAAAACUAAAACUAGUGAGUGUUCUCUUUUGUACAUUAAAAAAUGCCACGAUUCCCCCCUGCAUAACAUUAGACAGAUGACACUAGGAACAAAAACUGGGUUAUCUGUAUUCCCCCUUUCUUAUUUACAUAUUAGCCAUCUUAUGGCCUCUGUAUUUUUGGAAUCGUUCACUCGGUUUCAAUUGAAAAGCAUGGGCAGUGUCUGAUCUGUAUUUUAACUAUUGCCUUCUGAUGAUUUAGAGCUAUUCUAGAACAACAAAUCGUAUAAGAGGAGUUGGAUACAUAAUUGUUUUUUAAAUGAUGGUAUUGCUAUUCUUGAUUGUGACACUGGACUUUUAAAGAGUGUGCAUCUCACCUCUUGGACCUGCCAUGCUCGGAUAGUGCCAUCAGUAGAUGCAGUGCAAACCACAGACCUCAGCUUUCCAGCGCCAAACACGUGCUCGUUGUCUGAGAGAUAAGCCAUACCAACUAUUUCACCUACAAUAAUAAAAUACAACAAAAAUAUCAGUAUGACCGUCAACUGAUUUCAUGCCCACCAGGAACAGUAAGGCACCUAUCCAGCAAAGCAUUAAAUAGGAGCCUAAUGGCAUUAAGCAGAAUGGGGAUACAAAUUGGGGGAGGUCUGGAUUGUUUCCUGGCACGUUAUCAUUCUGCACUUUCAAACACGGUCUAGAGUUUGUUCCUAAUAUUCAGAGGAACGGUAGAUACAGUGUUCCAUUUUUCGUGAGUGUGAUGACUCACUUAUUAGUGUAGCCCAUGCUGUUAUCCAAAACCUGUUCAGUCAAAAUAAAAAAAACUUUUCAUGCAACAACAACAACAACAAAAGUGUCUGCAGGAGAGAAAAAUAAAUCACAUAAAUUAUCCCCGAUGCUGAUGAGGUGAUUAAACAAUAUUUAUUUCAGCAAGUAACUCUUCAGAAUAUCAUCUGGGUAGUAAUAAAAUGCCUUAGUUAAAACUGUUAACCCUUUGCUUGACAAUCUUACUGUUUGAAAAUAUGAUGUAUUCCAAAACUUGCAUUCUAGUUGAUUUUAUAAUAUGAUGCCUUCAUGGCUUGAGUUAGCACGAAAUUAAAGAGUAAAUUGCACUAUCUGAAGGGAAUAUAAUAAAUUAGAUUCAACUUUUAUUUGUGUGUGGAAUCCAGAGUCCAGUCUUAUUUUUACGUGUGGGUGCUAUUUAAUUUGGACUUCACUGAAGGUGACAUGCAACUCAGAGGAUAUCGGGCCAGAUUUUUACAAGGUAUAUGUGUGUCUAAAGAUAAAGAUAGGCACUUAACUCCCUUUAAAAAUCUGGCCAUAGUUAUCAGUGAAGAGAGAAUUUAUUUAAGCAGGAUGGAACAACAGAUGAGAUUUUUAUUUGGUUUUAUGUCACUGUCUUUGAAGACGACAUUUUCUGCAAAAUGUUACGGUAUAAAGCUAGUAAUUUUAAAACAUUCAGGGCUCUGUUCUCCUGAGAAUGUGCACACCCCAUCAUACCAUACGGCCAAUUUUCCAAGGUGCUUCAACUGAAUCUGAAGAUUUUCCUCAUGGUUUUGUACCAGUAAAACUUUCCAGCUUUUGGAUUUGUGGGAUUUGCAUGUAAAAAAAAUGCACGUUCAAACUGGGAACAACAAUUUUGCAGGCUGCUAAAGUCUUUAUUGCUAAUGUAUAAAGCAUUUGUCUGCCUAGAUCCUAUGAGGGGUUGGAUCCAUUUGUACAAAACACCUUACAACAACAGAAGUAACCAUUCUUUUUACCGUUUUCUCACAUACCUUUAUGCCCCCUCAUGGACCUACAUAUAUAAUCAGCUGAUGGCCGGCCUGAUGCCAUUUCAUGCUCAAGUUUGGAGCGGUGGAGAUAGUACUGUUUCCAUGUCUGCAUGCCUGGAGUCAGGUUGGAAAUAUUGCAAAAGGUCCAACGAUCUAGGCACAUCCUUCUAUAAAACAUAAAGGUAACACUAUUCAGUUAAAAGUAGGGGAUGGUCAUUCUGCAACAUUUUUCUUAACUAUUCACAUUUGCUGGAUGUCACUAGCUAGGUACAUCCAAAUAUUUGUCAUGGAUAAAAGCAUGAUUUUGUUGUUUACUUGGGGAAUUUAAGAUGUGGCAGUGGAGAAAGGGAAUUCCUCCCCAGUUACAAAACAAGACUCUGCAGUCACCAUCAUGAAAUAUGAAGAGAUGGAAAUAAGGAAACACCAUCAUGGAUUGAGAGUACAAACAUUGUUGUGUGUGCCUCCGCUAUUUUGCUCAAUGCAAUUAAAAAAUUUAAAAAAAAAAAA